rnacentral:rRNA from 1 species
CCUACGGGGCGCAGCAGUGAGGAAUAUUGGUCAAUGGACGAGAGUCUGAACCAGCCAAGUAGCGUGAAGGAUGACUGCCCUAUGAGUUGUAAACUUCUUUUAUAUGGGAAUAAAACGUUCCACGUGUGUGAUUUUGUAUGUACCAUAUGAAUAAGGAUCGGCUAACUCCGUGCCAGCAGCCGCGGUAAUACGGAGGAUCCGAGCGUUAUCCGGAUUUAUUGGGUUUAAAGGGAGCGUAGGUGGAUUGUUAAGUCAGUUGUGAAAGUUUGCGGCUCAACCGUAAAAUUGCAGUUGAAACUGGCAGUCUUGAGUACAGUAGAGGUGGGCGGAAUUCGUGGUGUAGCGGUGAAAUGCUUAGAUAUAACGAAGAACUCCGAUUGCGAAGGCAGUUCACUGGACUGCAACUGACACUGAGGCUCGAAAGUGUGGGUAUCAAACAGGAUUAGAUACCCCAGUAGUC